AAAGAAAAACUUGAAAGCCCCAAAAGUAAAUUUUGAUGAUCAGUGGGCAGCCAAAUAAAAAAACAUGCCAAUUCUAACAAAAUUAUGAACUGUGUGGACUUGCUUGUAAGUUUCAUUUAUAAAAUAUAUUUUUAUUUAUUUAUUAUAAUUAUUACAACUACAAUUCAGUUCAGUAAACAAAAAACUAAUAUUUAUUUAAGUAGAUAGUGGAUAAGAGCAUAGUUUUUCAUUUGACUGUGUACUCUUGUUUAAAACAUUUUGUUCUCUCUUCUCAGCUUCGUAAGAUGGAGUUACUGGACUUCUCUCCAAUGCUCUAUUACAACGCAGAGAGGCCAGCAUCGCUCCACAAAAGUUUUUGUUAAAAACGUCAACGUUCAGAGGCAUCACUCAGUACCAGUCAUGCAGAAACUUUAUGAGGCUGUUGUAAGAGAUUAGCCUAUCCCCUGUAUGUCACUGAUGCACUACUUCAAAGAUGUGAGGAAAAGAACAUACACCUGCGAGUAGUCUUAGACAUUGCUUGUGUUGUUGCCUUACAUUUGCAGAAAUCAGGGGAGGGCAUACCACACAACAUCUCCUUAGACUUACCAGCAUUUCAUGUUUAUGGGCACAAAUUGCCCUGCCAGAUCAAGUACAGUACCAGAUGUAUUGAUGGGUUUGGGCUCACAGACGGGGAAGGAAUGGAAAGGCUGUGGUCUUUCCUCCAAAGAUUUGCCAGAGUCACAAAGGAGAUGACUCCAUCUCAUCGCCUUGACCUACUGACUGAUGCCCUUUUGCAUUAUGGACGGAGGAAAUCAACUGACCUAGAGGUGCAGCUCCUGCAAAGAGUAGACAAAGCAGAGAAAAUAUUGAUUCUUGCUCAAGAAGAUAUCUCAUCUGUCAUCAGAUAGGUACCAGGUAAACAAUGCACAUAAGAAGCAGGUAACAAUUAGUUGUAGAUGGGAGAAUAUUACAUUCCAUUUAUAAGUGCAAUUUGCACAAGAGUAUUUAGGAUUGAUGUGUGUCUUGUUUUCUGUUAUUGUUGUUGUAUAGUGUUGAUUUCUGAAGGAGACAUGGAGAGAUGGAAAAAAGCUAGCCCAACUGAAAC